GUUCACAUGACAGCUCAGUUGAUAGAGCAUGAGACUCUUGAUCUCAGGCUUGAGGGUUCAAGCCCUAUGCUGGGCA